UGUUGACUGAGCGCGGCGCUGUGGUUUUUAACUUGCUUACCUUGUGGCCUUGGAAAACCUGAGGGAGGUUUCUAUGCGGCCACCCUCUCAGUGAGCUCCCCUUUCCACGCCGUCUGUCUACCUCGGCCGGCGACGCGCCACUGGUAUGUCCAGGUCUGAAUUCUUGCAGUGGAAUGCUGGUUGGAAAUGAAAUGCGCCACUUCCCGCUUGACCUAUAAAAAUCCCCCAAGUGUGCUCUUCUUACAUUUUCUUCAUCCGCUGAUUGGAAAGGACCCUAGAGACCACAGAGAAACAAGAACUUUAAGACAGAAGAAGCUUGGAACAGAGCCUGCUGCCACUCCUUUGCCACCCCAUGAGAUGUAAGCAAGAAAUAACAUUUAUUUUGGGCUUCCCUGGUAUCUCAGAUGGUAAAGAAUCUGCCUGCAAUGCAGGAGGCCUGGGUUUGAUCCCUGGAUUGGAAAGAUCCCCUGGAGAAGGGGGGAGAAUCCCAUGGACAGAGAAGCCUGGAGUGCUAUACAGUCCAUGGGGUCACAAAGACUCAGACACGAUUGAGGGACUAAGCACAAUGCACGAUGUCUCUUAGUCUACUACAGUAAGUAUCUUUACUGAUGCUUACAUUGUUCUAUAUUUGGCUGGUAGGUGCCUCUCUUUGGGUUGGUUUCCGAGCCCUUUUGAUUAGUAGUCUCCCUUUUCAGAGUUUUUGAUUAUUUCCUUUCUGUCUGUUGUGACAGAAUGUCCAGACUCAUCUUAUACAUUUCCUACUCUAUACUUUUGGUCAGUUUUUCCUUCACUGAAUUCUUUAUAGUGAGGAAUGGAAUUUCAAAACAAGAAUUUGGGUGGGAAGGCUGCUCUUUGUUCAAAAAGACUUUCAUUUUAAUAUUUACAAGCUUUACUGUUUAUAUUCUCUGUUUUAUAAUAUUUAUUUUACAUAUUUGUGUGUAAAUGAAUUACUGUAUUCUAUUAUGUGAAGCCACGAUGUAUACCAUGAACCACCUAGUUAAUGAUAUUUAUUUUGAAAAAAAUCACCUAAACUAUUAAAUGUCUGUCAGAUAAAAUAUCCAUUUCAAAUAUGCUAUUUUCUUCAGUAUCCCAAAGAAAAUUGGAGUCUUCAAAGAAAAUUAAUGGAGUCUUCAUGUUUAGACUCUAAAGAUGGGCUUUUGUGCUGGCUCAGUUGGUAAAGAAUCUGCUUGUAGUGCAGGAGACCCAGGUUCAAUGCCAGUGCUGGGAAUAUUCCCUGCAGAAGGGAAUGGCUACCUUCUCCAGUAUUCUUGCCUGGAAAAUUUCAUGUACAGAGAAGCCUGGUGGGCCACAGUCCAUGGGGUCGCAAAGAGUUGGAUGUAACUGAGUCACCUACACUUUGCAUUCCUCUUAAUUAAUUUUUCCUAUUGGCAGUUAUGCAUAGUUUUGUGGUAUCACACUGUUCUUCAUAACUUCUGUUAUGAUCUGGACAUCAUUAUUAUCUUGCUGCCUUACCAGCACCCAGAAUUCUGAAGAACUGGUUUGAGGCUCAGAGCAAGGCAAAUUUGUCUGAAUAGUAGGGAGGAGAUAUGAGGAGUAGAGGCAAAGAUGGUGAUAUAGUCUUAAGUUGCUUCUCUGUGGGUCUGGUGUCUGAGCCACACUGGGGAGUUCUCUGCGCCUUCUCCUCUUUGCCUUAUCCUGUCCAGUGCUAAAUGAGAUGUGGAAGCAAGUAAACACUAAAAUAUAAAGAGAUGACGAAGUAGUUGGCAUGGAAUGGAAGUCAAAACAGUGCUGCUCUCUGGCCUUGUGUCUAGGGUAGGUUAGUCUCUCCAAGUCUGAGAUUGCACACUUUAUCCCAUUACUCUGUAAUAUUUUUUUAGACCAUUUAUACUAUAUGUGUAUACAGUACCACAUACUUUUUGAAAAAGUAUUUGUGGUGUAUCUUCUUUUUUCUAAAGUUCCAUGAGUGCAGGAACCUUUUCCACUACUGACUCCUCAGUGCUUUGAAUAGUCUUUAGAACAGAGUGAGUGCUCAAUAAACAUUUAAUGAAUUAUUGCUGAGUUUUUGAGAAGACAAAAUAAGAUAGUGAAUGUAGAAAGUUUAGCACUAUGCCUACUAUCACUUCAUGGGAAAUAGAUGGGGAAACAGUGGAAACAGUGUCAGACUUUAUUUUUCUGGGCUCCAAAAUCACUACAGAUGGUGACUGCAGCCAUGAAAUUAAAAGACACUUACUCCUUG